CUCAAGGGGGUUUGGGAUAUGAAGAGAAGGGUUUACUUUAAGGCCAAGGAUGGGGAAGGUCUGAGUAGCUUGUACACAGGAAGAAUUAAGUGCUGCUCUGUGCUCAGUGCGGUUGUGGAGGGAGCAGCUGGCUGCACUGGUCCAUGGCUGGGUUUGGCAGGAGCGAGAACACCAGCCCGGAGCAGACACAGCAUUCCUGGGGCAGGACUGCCCCGCAUGUCACAUCACGAAGCCCAGUGCCCGGCACACAGUGCCCACCUGUCUCUGCUGCCAGGGAGUUUGUUUUUCAAACAUUCCGUGGACAUUCUAGUCCCACAAAAAGCAGCUCAAUUCAGUAUUCACCAUGUCCUGACACGUAAGUCUCUGCAUAUCCUCUUCCUCUCUCUGUCUCUCUCUCUUUCUGUUUGUGUCUCUGUCUCUCUGUGUGUCCCUCUCUAUGUCUCUGUCUCUCCCUCUCUCUUCCUCUCUCCCUCCCUUCCCUCCACCAACAAUAUGUCAGGACAAUCUGUCCCCUCGCAGAGGGACCAUCGAGCAACAUCAAGCAAUAUUUCAACACGUGUAACCAGCUUGCCUGGCCCUCUGGUCCCCGUGCUGAGCAAGGGCCAUCACAAAGGCUGCGUGUGACCGAGCCCUGACUGGUUCAAAGCGUGUCCAAAAGCUCUGCGUCAGCUCUGCUGAAAAUGAGGUCCCUUAAUGACACUCAUUUUAUCUUUGCAAAAGGACAAGGCUGAGGGCAGGGGACCUGGGCAGGGCUGCAGGAGACUUGGCUGUGUGUCCUGGCCUCGCCGCUCAUAGCCGUGGACUCGAGGUGUGCCCCUCACCUGACAGAGCCUCAGUUUCCCCGUCAGCCAAGGGGGACAAUGAUGGCACCUUCCUUGUGGGGAGGAUCCAGAGGCAGGUGUGGAGUUGUCAGCGCCGUGCUCAGAAAUGAUGGUUCUGGAUGGAGACAUUGGUGUCUUCUUGUUUUGUCCUCAGCACAGGUGUCCUGAACUCCGAUUUGGCAAACAGGGAACCUGAGGGCCAGCAAGUUUAGCUGAGGGGCCCAGGGCACUCUUCUUAGGGACAGGAGGUGCCAGGAUUUCAACACGGGGUGUUUACCCCCAAAGCCCGACCGAAUGGCUUGGGUGCAUCCUUGGAGGGGCGCCUGGCCCCCCGGCUGGCCAGCUGCUGGGGGCUCCUGGGCCGCCGUGAUGUGCACUUGGCUGCUCUUCUCUGCCCAAGCCCAGCAGAGGCUGCAGACCACGGCCAAGGGCGGCUGCCCAUCCAAGGGGCAGAGUCGGGACCUCAUGAGCUGGCAGGGGGCUGGGCUCCAGGUCCUGGAGCUGCUCCCAACUCCCAGGGGGACCUCAGGUGAGUGCAGCCUGGAGCCCUGGAGCUUCCAUGAACCCCUGGAUGAACUGACCUACGGGGUCUCACAUUGUGUGGUGAUCUCCAAAGGCGAGACUUAUAGGUCUGGGGUUCCCUGAUUCUAUCAGUCCUGGGGCUGAUUCGGGUUCAGGGGUGGCCGUGCCUCUGCUCUGCCAUCUACUGCUGACCAGGCUCUGACUCUCAGGCCUGGACCCAUGAGUAUGACCCACCCGCCAUGGUUUCCUGAUCCCAACCAGCCACUUGCUGGACAUUUCUCCCUGAAAGCUCAUAUGGGUCUGGGGCCAGGAUUAACUCACCUGUGAGUGGUCACCUCUGGAAAGUGAAGUCCUUGGGAAAGUCUGGCCCCUCCUUGCUCCCCCUUCAAGGCGCUUAGCCCAGCACAAGGCACCCCAUGUCCAUUACACUUUGUAGAAUGAGCAGAAUAUUUGAGGGGUCAGAUGUCACAUCCUUGGAAGCAACACGAGGAGAAGUAAAAGGAGAAAGAUGGGGAGACCAGUUUCUGGGCCCAGCUCUGCCUGUGGAGCAAAACAUGACCUUGGGAAAGUCCCUUCCCUUCUCUGGCCUCAGUUUCCUCCACUGGACCGUGAUAGGAUUGGCAGUCGGUUGGUUUCUCUGAGCCUCAGUUUCCUCAGUUAUAAAACGGGUAUGAAAACAGUGACUAUUCAGUG
rnacentral:lncRNA from 1 species